rnacentral:rRNA from 1 species
AAACUAGGAUUAGAUACCCUAUUAUUGAGUUUAAAAAAAUUGUUAGGUAAUAAAGAUUAUGAAAGCAAAAAAUUAUGGCGGUAUUUUAAGCUUUUCAGAGGAAUUUGCUCUUUAAUGGAUAAAACACCUAAAUCUUACUUAAAUUUGUUAAUUCAAUUUGUAUACCACUAUAAAAACAAUUUAUAACUUUAAUUGUUGAUAUUUAUUAAAUUAAAAUAUAUUAAGUCAAGGUGCAGUAAAAAUUUAAGGAUGAAGUGAAUUACAUUACUUUUUAGAGAAAUAAAUUUAAAAUAAUAUUUAGGAUUUGAAAGUAAAAUUAAAAUAUAAUGUUAAUUUGAAUUAAGCUCUAAAAUAUGUACACAUCGCCCGUCGCUCUCAUU